UACAGAGGUCCCAAGCGUUGUUCGGAUUCACUGGGCGUAAAGGGUGCGUAGGUGGUGAGGUAAGUCGGAUGUGAAAUCUCCGAGCUCAACUCGGAAAUGGCAUUGGAAACUACCUUGCUCGAGGGUUGGAGGGGGGGGACUGGAAUGCUUGGUGUAGCAGUGAAAUGCGUAGAUAUCAAGCGGAACACCAGUGGCGAAGGCGAGUCCCUGGACAACUCCUGACACUGAGGCACGAAAGCUAGGGGAGCAAACGGG
rnacentral:rRNA from 1 species